UACGGAGGGGGCUGGCGUUGUUCGGAAUUACUGGGCGUAAAGCGCACGUAGGCGGCUUUGCAAGUUAGAGGUGAAAGCCCUGGGCUCAACUCAGGAAGUGCACCCGAUACUACGUGGCUAGAGUACCGGAGAGGUUGGUAGAAUUCUCGGUGUAGAGGUGAAAUUCGUAGAUAUCGAGAGGAAUACCUGUGGCGAAGGCGGCCAACUGGACGAGUACUGACGCUGAGACACGAAAGCGUGGGGAGCAAACAGG
rnacentral:rRNA from 1 species